AUUGAACGCUGGCGGCAGGCUUAACACAUGCAAGUCGAGCGGGGUGAUGGUGCUUGCACUAUCACUUAGCGGCGGACGGGUGAGUAAUGCUUAGGAAUCUGCCUAUUAGUGGGGGACAACAUCUCGAAAGGGAUGCUAAUACCGCAUACGUCCUACGGGAGAAAGCAGGGGAUCACUUGUGACCUUGCGCUAAUAGAUGAGCCUAAGUCGGAUUAGCUAGGUGGUGGGGUAAAGGUCUACCAAGGCGACGAUCUGUAGCGGGUCUGAGAGGAUGAACCGCCACACUGGGACUGAGACACGGCCCAGACACCUACGGGAGGCAGCAGUGGGGAAUAUUGGACAAUGGGGGGAACCCUGAUCCAGCCAUGCCGCGUGUGUGAAGAAGGCCUUAUGGUUGUAAAGCACUUUAAGCGAGGAGGAGGCUCUUUUGGUUAAUACCCAAGAUGAGUGGACGUUACUCGCAGAAUAAGCACCGGCUAACUCUGUGCCAGCCGCCGCAGUAA
rnacentral:rRNA from 1 species